rnacentral:rRNA from 1 species
UAGCGACAGGCUUAACACAUGCAAGUCGAGGGGCAUCGGGGGAAGUGCUUGCACUUUCUGCCGGCGACCGGCGCACGGGUGAGUAACACGUAUGCAACCUACCCUUUACAGAGGGAUAAUCGGGAGAAAUUUCGUCUAAUACCUCAUAACACCAUUUUAUUGCAUGAUAAGAUGGUCAAAGGGUUACCGGUAAAGGAUGGGCAUGCGGAGCAUUAGGUAGUUGGCGGUGUAACGGACCACCAAGCCGACGAUGCAUAGGGGUUCUGAGAGGAAGGUCCCCCACACUGGUACUGAGACACGGACCAGACUCCUACGGGAGGCAGCAGUGAGGAAUAUUGGUCAAUGGGCGGGAGCCUGAACCAGCCAAGUCGCGUGAGGGAAGACGGCCCUACGGGUUGUAAACCUCUUUUGUCAGGGAGCAAAGAGUGGUAUGUAUACCUCGAUGAGAGUACCUGAAGAAAAAGCAUCGGCUAACUCCGUGCCAGCAGCCGCGGUAAUACGGAGGAUGCGAGCGUUAUCCGGAUUUAUUGGGUUUAAAGGGUGCGCAGGCGGUAUAUUAAGUCAGCGGUAAAAUUUCGGGGCUCAACCUCGUCUAGCCGUUGAAACUGAUGUACUAGAGUGGACGAGAAGUAUGCGGAAUGCGUAGUGUAGCGGUGAAAUGCAUAGAUAUUACGCAGAACUCCGAUUGCGAAGGCAGCAUACCGGCGUCCAACUGACGCUCAUGCACGGAAGCGUGGGUAUCGAACAGGAUUAGAUACCCUGGUAGUCCACGCAGUAAACGAUGAAUACUAAUUGUUUGGCAUAAAAGAAUGCUGAGUGAUACAGCGAAAGCGUUAAGUAUUCCACCUGGGGAGUACGCCGGCAACGGUGAAACUCAAAGGAAUUGACGGGGGCCCGCACAAGCGGAGGAUUAUGUGGUUUAAUUCGACGCAACGCGAAGAACCUUACCAGGACUUGACAUCCAACUAACGAAGCAGAGAUGCAUUAGGUGCCCUUCGGGGAAAGUUGAGACAGGUGGUGCAUGGUUGUCGUCAGCUCGUGUCGUGAGAUGUUGGGUUAAGUCCCGCAACGAGCGCAACCCCUAUUGUUAGUUGCUACGCAAGAGCACUCUAGCGAGACUGCCGUUGACAAAACGGAGGAAGGUGGGGACGACGUCAAAUCAUCAUGCCCCUUAUGUCCUGGGCUACACACGUAAUACAAUGGCCGUCAACAGAGGGAAGCAAAACCGCGAGGUGGAGCAAACCCCCAAAAACGGUCUCAGUUCGGAUUGCAGGCUGCAACUCGCCUGCAUGAAGCUGGAAUUGCUAGUAAUCGUGGAUCAGCAUGCCACGGUGAAUACGUUCCCGGG